GCUGCUGCCCUGCGUUCUCCACGUCCGGAGCGGUAGUUCUGCAGAGCCCCUUGGAUGUCCUCACGGAUCAGCUCCGCCUGUCAAUCAUACUUUAAGAUCUCCCCUCUUACGCCCCACCCAUUGCCUGCCCAGGACUCUUUCUUGUUCUCAGCGCUUUGCCUCCGACUGUCUUGGACAAACCCCAUGGACCCCAUCUUGGUUCUGCCUGCCUGCCUGCCUGCUUCCAACCAUCUUUUUUAUGUUUUUCUCAAAGCCUUUGUUCUGCAUCUUCUUCCCAUCGUCACAUUCAGUCAUGGUCUAGAGUUCAUUCAACCUGUCCUCAAUUCUGGUUCCCUCUCAGACCUGCUUUCCUAGGCUAUGUCCCCGUUUGCCAAGGCCCCGCCCCAAACAUGGAAGCCCCGCCUCUGAUUCUCUACUAGAAAAAAAAGCCACCCGGAGCCACGCCCACUCACUCCGAGGAGCAGGCCCUGGAAGAAAUGAACAUCCGGCUGUGCACGCUCUGGCUCCUGGCACACCAGGAGCAGCAAUGAACGGCUCCGUCCUCGGGGCAUCACCGCGUCGCAGCGUACGAUGGCAUCGAGAGGAUAUGACUCUAGUUCUUCCUGCAGGACGGGGUCGCAGGGUAAACGGAGGCACAGAUUCCUAUGACUGCUAGAGCAGUGUCCAGGACUUGGGGCAAGGCAACCGAAAGAGUUCAGGGGCCUAGAAAUAACACCCUGUUUAAUAACCUAGGCUUCAAAGGAUAGCUUGCCAAAGUUCCCAGGGGAAGGACGCUUCGGAGCCAAGAUUCACCCUCAGAUCUCAGCCCCAUUUCUCUCUUCCACCCAAUUGCUCUCUGGCACCUUGGAGACUGGAUCAAGCAGAGUGACUUGACUAGGUGACACUCUCAGUAGCAUCUCCUGUGCCCAGACACGCCCCUGGCUGUCCAUGACUGCCAGCUUUCUGGAAGCAUCUUCCACAGUGUGCACGCCAUCUUCUUCCCCCAAGCAGAAGGUGACCAGGUGCUGGCAGGAGACAGAGUAGGUAGCUGAGUCCCAGGCUAUGCCAAGCUGUUGCUGAGCUUCUAGAGGGAGCUCCUGUUCAGCCUAGCCAUACUUCCCCAGAAUGCUUUCCUCAGACCCUUUGAAUCCAGACCUCAGUCUCCCUCCCUCAGACCCUUCAGCUCCUUCAGUGGCCAGCACUGAUUAGAUUUCCUUCCAAUUAGGACAUCUUCAAACCAAGAUUGGAGGCUUCUCAAGGGCAACAAAUAAUAAGGAUUGAACUCUUGUAAGUGCCUCCUCUGCUUUGCAUUAUGACAUCCACACCCUCUCCUGGACCAUGGAACCGUGGCCGAUUUGGUCCUGCAUCCUGCACUGGGGAUGGCUCAGAGGAAGAUCAGACAGAACUGAGUUCUCAGGCAACAGGGACGGAUGUUCAUGGGGAGAGAAGAGCUGAGUUUUCCUAGUCUCUUCCUUCUUUCUUUCCUUCUUUUUCCCUCCCUUCCUCCUGCCUCCCUCUCUCUCUUUCUUAUUUAUUCACUUUACAUCCUGAUGGCUGCCCCCGUCCCCAGUCCCUGUUUUCAAAAGGCCUAUCACUUCAGGCUCACCUCUCCCCAGGAAACGUCUUAGAGAAACAUAGACCCCAGACUCACAUUGACAUGAUACUGGGACACGUCAGCCAUAACCACGGUGGAGUAACGUUUUCUCUGUUCUAAGGAGGGGAGAGGGGGAAGUGCAUGCAAGAGUCAGACUGCAGCCUGGUUCCUUAGACCCUGAUGCUAGCUAGCCCUUCUCCCUCAGAAGGAGGAGUCUAGACUCCAGCUCUCCUCCCUCAGACCCAGGAGUCCAGACUGCAGCCAUCCUCCCUCAGACCUAGGAUCCCUGACCCCAGCUCUUCUCUCUCAGAUCCAAGAGCCCAGAUUCUGUCCCCUCCUCCUCCUCUCAAAACGACAGACUGUAUUCUCUCUUCUCCCAAGAGCCUUGUUCUUGGUCGCCUUAACCCUCAAGCUUACCAUAGAUAGACUUUGCACUUGGUUUGGGUGCAGCUUCAGGCCUGGUGAAGAAGAAAAUAAGGGGUUAGGAGGAUGGUGGGGCUGGGGAUAGACCCUGCAGGCAUGCAUCAGGGAGGGUAAUGGAGAGCCGUGCAAGGUCUGAGCAGGUGAGAGCAGGACACACCAGAGUUAAAGAAGAUGGUAUGGUAUAAGCUGGGUGUAGUGGUGCAUGCCUUUAAUUCCAGCAGUCAGGAGGCAGAGGUGUGAGUUCGAGGCCUGGUGUACAAAGAGAGUUCCAGGAUAGCCAGGACUGUUACAUAGAGCAACCCUGUCUCAAAAAAUCAAGACAUAUGAUGUGAUAAUGUGUGUGUGUGACCGCUACAUCGCACAAACCUGGAUUCAAAUAUUCUAUUUCUGUCUGUCUGUCUGCCUGCCUCUCCCUCUCUCUCUCCCCCUCUCACCCUGAGAUGGAGGACCCUUGUUCAGUUCUGGGUAACCAGGCCAGGCUGCUCACAACCAGCUGUGAAGCUCUAGCUGUUCUGAAAUUCACUACAGUAGACCAGGCCUCAAACUCAUAGAUAUCCUCCUGCCUCUGCCUACCAGCUGCUAGAAUUAAGAGCAUGUACCACUAUGCCCAGCCCCUCCCUGCGCUCUCUUUUAGUAAAAAUGCUUUUGCAAUUUUGAGAUAGAGUCUUGAAAUCACUAUGUAGCUUAGGAUGGUCCUGAACUCCUGUCCUUACUGCCUCGACUGCCACUGUGCUGGGAACGCAGGCAUGUACCAUCAUAUCUGGUUCUAGGUUAAAAUUCACAAAGCUGAUGGGGGCUGGAGACUUGGCUCAGUUGUUAGAGAAUUCGUUGCCUUUCUAGAGGAUCCUAGUCAGUUCCAGGGAACCAGGCCAGGCUGCUUACAACCAUCUGUAAUUCCAGCCCCAGGGGACCAAUGACCUCUUGUAGCUUAUACAGACAUCCCUCCCUCCACCCUUACACACACAUCAGAGAGACAGAGACAGAGAGAUAGAGAAAAAGAUACAAUUAAAAAAGAUUGGUGGCUAAUCUUGGUUGUCAACUUGAUUACAUUGGAAAUCAACUAAAAUCCAAGUUGUUGGAGACAUAAAAGGACAUGGGAGAAGGACACAUCUAUUUUUUGCCUGCUUGCUCUCAAUCUCGCUGUUUAUCGAUCCUCCUGCUGAGGUCUUUCUUUGCUGGUGUUAGAAUAUAUAUAUAUAUUUAGGACUCUAAUGUAGGCCAAAGACCAGCAGCUCUCUAGGAAUUUCUAGGGAACUACACUGCUCACGCCUCCACUCUGGUAAAUUGAAUAACGAUUGGACUCUUGGCUUUUCUGCUAUGAGACAGCCACUGUCGGAUGACCCAAACCACAGCAUAUAAGCCACUCUAAUAAAUCGUGUGUGUGUGUGUGUGUGUGUGUGUGUGUGUAUGUGGAUUCAUGUGUAUGUGUGUUUGUGUGUUCAUGUAUAUGUAUAAGUGUGUGUGUGUGAUUCUAUCAGUUCUGUUCCUUUAGAGAACCCUGACUAAUGUAAAGGUGAAGGGCAGAGCCUAUUGUGAUUGAUGCACACUCACAAUCCCAGAACUCAGGAGACAGAGAAAGGAUGAUUUAAGUUUGAUGACAGUCAGGGCUACAUAGUGAGACCUAGACACAAAAAAACAAAAAAC